rnacentral:rRNA from 1 species
GACGAACGCUGGCGGCGUGCUUAACACAUGCAAGUCGAACGGAAAGGCUCCAGCUUGCUGGAGUACUCGAGUGGCGAACGGGUGAGUAACACGUGGGUAAUCUGCCCUGCACUCUGGGAUAAGCCUGGGAAACUGGGUCUAAUACUGGAUAUGACCUUUCUCCUUAUGGGGUUUGGUGGAAAGUUUUUCGGUGUAGGAUGAGCCCGCGGCCUAUCAGCUUGUUAGUGGGGUGAUGGCCUACCAAGGCGACGACGGGUAGCCGGCCUGAGAGGGUGAUCGGCCACAUUGGGACUGAGAUACGGCCCAGACUCCUACGGGAGGCAGCAGUGGGGAAUAUUGCACAAUGGGCGGAAGCCUGAUGCAGCGACGCCGCGUGAGGGAUGACGGCCUUCGGGUUGUAAACCUCUUUCAGCAGGGACGAAGCGUAAGUGACGGUACCUGCAGAAGAAGCACCGGCUAACUAUGUG